rnacentral:lncRNA from 1 species
UUUGGUUUCACCGCUUGCUGAACAGGACUGGACAGGACUGACCAGGACUGACCAACCACUACAGGGUAUACUUUAUCCGACGCUUGCGCUCUUUGCAAUGGGUCUUGUUUUAGGUCGAUGCCUACGCCCAUACCAAUGGAAGUUUGGGACCCUGGCAUGUAACCGACUUUGUUAGCCGCUGCCUGUGACGCCGACUCCAUUCGGUUUUGUUUUGAACGAAAGGUGCAAACUUGCUGUUUUGUCACCGCCUUCUUUAUGUCUUCCUUGCUGGCACAGAGGUCGAAGUCAACGCACAGCUGGCGGAUGCGGAUUCCGAGGUGGCAAUCAAGUCGCUGAGGGCCCUCGCCCCGAACCUUAAAGCUCUCCAAGCCCUCAAGCUUGCAAAAGCAGCAUGUGCCCCGACUGCACAGCCCGCUGACGAGUUGGGCGAGGAUGCGUCACCACGGCUGGAGAAAAAGCGCAGGACUAAUGAAGAGAUGGCCAAGGCCGUGUGUUUGAGUUUGGUUUGCUAUGGGACGCGACUUAUAAGCAGAACUUCCUUGUGUUUGAGUUUGGUUUGCUAUGGGACGCGACUUGCAAGCAGAACUUCCUUGUGUUUGAGUUUGGUUUGNNNNNNNNNNNNNNNNNNNNNNNNNNNNNNNNNNNNNNNNNNNNNNNNNNGUCUUGGAAGACGCCCACAUUGUUAAGCGCAAGCUAGUAACAGCCCGACGACCGUUUGUUAUCUCUUCCAGAAUGGCACCCGAUGGUGCCCUGGAUGUGGAUGUGCAUGGGCCGGACAAGGUAAGAACGGGGUUGGACUGCGUCUGACUGAAGAACUGGCAGGGUGCACCAAUGGUGCACUUUUCUCACAUUUACACCAAGUCGCGUUCCAUGCCUGUUCUAUUCCCAAUGGUGUUAACCUUCUGCAGAAGCGUCAAAAGCUGGCAAAAUUGACGGGGUUGGGCUUCGCCAGGGACAUGGCCGAAGUCAUCGUGGAAACGCUUGGGAUGGACCCCAUCGGGCAGUCGGCCGAUGCCGCCAUCGCCAAUACAUGGUCUGAAGAAGGCUUGGUGGACUUGGCGUCAGUGAAGACCGUGGCUGGCGGUAAGAACCACUUCAGCCUAAUUUGGUUUCACCGCUUGCUGAACAGGACUGGACAGGACUGACCAGGACUGACCAACCACUACAGGGUAUACUUUAUCCGACGCUUGCGCUCUUUGCAAUGGGUCUUGUUUUAGGUCGAUGCCUACGCCCAUACCAAUGGAAGUUUGGGACCCUGGCAUGUAACCGACUUUGUUAGCCGCUGCCUGUGACGCCGACUCCAUUCGGUUUUGUUUUGAACGAAAGGUGCAAACUUGCUGUUUUGUCACCGCCUUCUUUAUGUCUUCCUUGCUGGCACAGAGGUCGAAGUCAACGCACAGCUGGCGGAUGCGGAUUCCGAGGUGGCAAUCAAGUCGCUGAGGGCCCUCGCCCCGAACCUUAAAGCUCUCCAAGCCCUCAAGCUUGCAAAAGCAGCAUGUGCCCCGACUGCACAGCCCGCUGACGAGUUGGGCGAGGAUGCGUCACCACGGCUGGAGAAAAAGCGCAGGACUAAUGAAGAGAUGGCCAAGGCCGUGUGUUUGAGUUUGGUUUGCUAUGGGACGCGACUUAUAAGCAGAACUUCCUUGUGUUUGAGUUUGGUUUGCUAUGGGACGCGACUUGCAAGCAGAACUUCCUUGUGUUUGAGUUUGGUUUGCUAUGGGACGCGACUUAUAAGCAGAACUUCCUUGUGUUUGAGUUUGGUUUGCUAUGAGACCCGACUUGCAAGCAGGACUUCCUUGUGUUUGUUUGAGUUUCCAUGUAAGCAACUAUGGACAACUAAACCAUCCAUCCUUGGCCUGUUUUGCAGUCCUGUCAGUAUUCCCAGUUCUGCACCUGCAGCCUCAUUUUACAGCAGAACACCCAAUUCUAAU